GAUGAACGCUGGCGGCGUGCUUAACACAUGCAAGUCGAACGGAAAGGCUCCUGCUUGCAGGGGUACUCGAGUGGCGAACGGGUGAGUAACACGUGGGUGAUCUGCCCUGCACUUCGGGAUAAGCCUGGGAAACUGGGUCUAAUACCGGAUAGGACGAUGGUUUGGAUGCCAUUGUGGGAAGUUUUUUCGGUGUGGGAUGAGCUCGCGGCCUAUCAGCUUGUUGGUGGGGUAAUGGCCUACCAAGGCGUCGACGGGUAGCCGGCCUGAGAGGGUGUACGGCCACAUUGGGACUGAGAUACGGCCCAGACUCCUACGGGAGGCAGAAGUGGGGAAUAUUGCACAAUGGGCGCAAGCCUGAUGCAGCGACGCCGCGUGGGGGAUGACGGCCUUCGGGUUGUAAACUCCUUUCGCUAGGGACGAAGCGCAAGUGACGGUACCUGGAGAAGAAGCACCGGCUAACUACGUG
rnacentral:rRNA from 1 species